AGAACUUCGGCUGGCGGCGUGCCUAACGCAUGCCCAUCGACGUGAAAGGGAAUUCCAAUCCCCCGGUAGGUUGACACGGGUGAGUAAGACAUGGGUGAUCUACCCUGGAGAUGGGGAUAUCCCUCCGAAAGGGGGGGCAAUACCGAAUAGAGUCGCUCACCGUGAAGGGGACCGGGGAAAGGGAGGCCUCUGAGAUACCUUCCGCUCCUGGAUGAGCCCAUGGCCCAUCAGCUAGUUGGUAGGGUAAAGGCCUACCAAGGCGACGACGGCGCUCCUCUGAGAGGACAACCAGCCACACUGGCACUGAGAGUGCGCCAGACUCCUACGGGAGGGGUAGUGAGGAAUAUUGCGCAAUGGGGGCAACCCUGACGCAGCAACUGAUGUGGGAAGAAGGCUUUCGGGUUGUAAACCACUUUUGCCCGGGACCUGGGGGCGUCAGAAUACGGUGACGAUGACGGUACCGGGAGAAUAAGCCACGGCUAACUAAUGCCA
rnacentral:rRNA from 1 species